ACGUAGGGGGCAAGCGUUGUCCGGAAUUAUUGGGCGUAAAGAGCGCGUAGGCGGUCUGAUAAGUCGGUUGUGAAAGUCGGGGGCUCAACCCUCGGAUGCCGAUCGAUACUGUCAGGCUAGAGUCCGGAAGAGGCGAGUGGAAUUCCUGGUGUAGCGGUGAAAUGCGCAGAUAUCAGGAGGAACACCAAUGGCGAAGGCAGCUCGCUGGGACGGCACUGACGCUGAGGCGCGAAAGCGUGGGGAGCAAACAGG
rnacentral:rRNA from 1 species